GGCCUGUUAGCUCAGUUGGUUAGUGCUUGGUGCUAAUAAUGCUAAGGUUGGGGGUACAAUCCCCAUAUGGGCCA
rnacentral:tRNA from 1 species